rnacentral:rRNA from 1 species
UGGGGAAUCUUGCACAAUGGGGGAAACCCUGAUGCAGCGACGCCGCGUGAGCGAUGAAGCCCUUCGGGGUGUAAAGCUCUUUCGGCAGGGAAGAUAAUGACGGUACCUGCAGAAGCAGCUGCGGCUAACUACGUGCCAGCAGCCGCGGUAAUACGUAGGCAGCAAGCGUUGUUCGGAGUUACUGGGCGUAAAGGGUGCGUAGGCGGUCCUAUAAGUAUGGUGUGAAAUCUCCCGGCUUAACUGGGAGGGUGCGCUAUAGACUGUGGGACUAGAGUGUGGGAGAGGAAAGUGGAAUUCCUGGUGUAGCGGUGAAAUGCGUAGAUAUCAGGAGGAACACCGGUGGUGUAAACGGCUUUCUGGACCAUAACUGACGCUGAGGCACGAAAGCGUGGGUAGCAAACAGGAUUAGAUACCCUGGUAGUCCACGCCCUAAACGAUGCAUAUUUGGUGUGGGUCAUUCAGUUGAUCCGUGCCGGAGCUAACGCGUUAAAUAUGCCGCCUGGGGAGUACAGUCGCAAGGCUG